rnacentral:tRNA from 1 species
GGGGACAUAGCAUAACCUGGUAGUGCAACUGGCUCCAGACCAGUUGAUCCGGGUCCAAAUCCCGGUGUCCCCAC